rnacentral:misc_RNA from 1 species
AGUAAAUUGCAGUGUGAAAUGCGACCUAAAUACGUGACAUGGAAAAUGAUUGUGCAAGUGAAAGUGAGUCAGUUGUGACAGUAAGUUGGUAACAUGCUGUCCAGGUGCCUCACUGAUUUUGUCUGGGAAAGGUCAAUCUUAAUCUUAAUCUGUCUCCAUUCUCUCCAGGCUCAAACCUUUAAAUUACCACGUUGAAUCCUCUCAAAGCUCUUGGCA